rnacentral:lncRNA from 1 species
GUCAGUUAGGCCCUGAUAGCACUCCGGCAGGUUAGGCUCUGGUUAACUAGCUUCCCCUGGGUGCAGGCCUUGUUAAGUGGAACAGCGCAUUCUGGCCUAUUUAAAAGUGGUUCCUUUCCCCCUCCCCCUGCCAGGGCAAAGUGAAUUUUCACGCCGUUUACUACAGGAACGUGGUCGAGCUCCUGGAGGUAUAGGUAACCUCAGUACACAGACAGAUUAUGUGACCUCUCAGUCUGUGGCAAUCCUGGAGAACCUUCUGCAGGCCUUCCCGACAGUGAAAUGCCUAACUGUGCUUUUCCCUGGAGUUUUCACCAUCAAGUUUCCUUACCUGUAGAAAAGAGAUGAUAAUAAUGUUUGCCUUGUCAGAUUACACAGACAAUUAAAUGACCAAAUGGAGCAACAGUGUACGGCACAUGGUCUCCAAAAUGGUAGCUGAAGCUGAUCUAGGGGAUAACACCCUCUUUCUACAACUCCUUCUUCCAAGAUUUUUGUCCUGGGUCUACCUAUGCGUUAUUGACGGACCAUCUUCUUUAAAGACACUGCUUCUUUAUAUGUGUCAUUCCACAGAGCAGUUAACAAUAAUGUCACAUUACAAAUCAAGAUUCUCCAUAAAAAGCAAAAUAAUUUUGACCUGUGUCAACAAUGGAGCCCAUUCAUAUGCGAGAUGUAUUAUGCAUCACAGAUCAACUACGGACAUUGCUGGUAUCACAGACAACGUUUCGAAGGGUGUUUUAUACUAGUUUUAAUAUGUAAGCUAUUAAGAUAAAAGACCUUGCACUUGUCGCUCUGACAGUGUUUUAAAAGGCUAAGCUGCCCAAUUUGUCUUUCAUUAAAAGCUCUGGUGCAGUUCUGUGAUUUGUAGUCACUGAGCCGUCGAGAUUUCAGAGCGUACAAUUCUAUUUUGAGAAAUUUUUUUUUGUCAAUAAAAAAGGCAUAUGCUUGAAUGAGUCAUCUUAACAGAGCAAACUCACAAGAAGGAGUUGACCUGCACUUCCGCCCGCUGCUGAAUUUUCCCUACCUUUCCUUGUUAGCACACAGCUUGCCCUGUGCCUCAUACCACAGUGAAACCAGAAAUGUGGAGACAAGGUCUCCUUAGCCCAUAUGGUUUUAUUUGUGUUCUGCUGGCACAGUUAUAGUCAUACAGUAACCAACAUAAAUUUUUAGUUUUAUUAUCACCUCUAAAAAGAGACAGAAAUGUGAAAAUUGAAGCCAGAAGGUUUGUAUCACAGGAUUAAUUAGGCAGGGCCAACUGGAGUCUCGCUCCUCCUGGCAGCAAGAGCCUCAAGAAGGUGCCUGUCUUCAAUUACGGAGCGCACAAAGCAAUUAAAAACCCUGUUUCUUUUUCCUGAGGUGUUACUUGUUACUUGAUAAAUCUCUUUUUUCAAAUUCUCCAGGGAUCUGAACUGGCUUGAGGUGCAAUCUACCAGGGUAGAUAUUCAUGAAAAAUUGAUUUAACUCGAGCCUAAGUGCAAUAGGUUUAAAAUAAACCUGAAAGGAAUGAAGAGUGUGUUUCUUGGCUGACAUUUUAUUGGCCACUUUUUUAAUGCACAAAAGACUAGAUAAUUAAGAAUUGAGACAUUAUGGAUCUCCACCUGGAGAUAUGAAUCGAAUUGGUCAGCCAUCCCAGGCAUUUUUUCCAAAGUCACGCUACACAUUUGAUUAACCUUUUUCACAGGGCGAUUUGUACAAUUCCAUGGACAACACUGUGGUGCAUAAGUCAGAAUUAAGUGCAUGCCUUCCAGAACCCACAUCCCCUUUCUAAUAGAAAAUCGUCUCUGUAUGAAAUUAUAUCUUUCUACUUGAUUUAUGUUCUAGUCCAGUGGGAUUUGAAACUUGGAUCUGUUGUUCUAUUUCUCCAAAAGGAACUUUUCUUGCUUUUCACGGUUAUUGUUGAGAAUAACAUUAUUAUUCUACUUCUGGAACUAUUUAUAAAUAUUCAGAAGCGAGUUUCAAUUGUCUUCUGUACAGCUAGUUUUGCAGCCUGGGAUUUUACUAGUAGUAUGUAAAUCACCUAGCUAACCCUUUCCUUUGAAAUAUAAAUAAUUUAAAAUAUGCAAUAAGUACAGAGUGUAACUGGUAGAAACAAUAGUGCUCUAUCAAGACAUAUGGGCUUAAGCUUAUCAGUGAUCUCAUACUUCCUGUUGAAAAGAGAAGCAAAAUAUUUUUUAAAUCAAUAAGCUAAAAACCAUGAUUGUAAAUACGGAAUGAGAUGCUACUUUCACUUGAAAAGCAUAUUAUGUACAAUUUAAUAAAACAACAAAAGCAGUAAUAGGCUUUGGUCUAUGUUAUUUUCUUUGGUUGUGUUUCUGAAUUAAAAAUGUUUACUGAAGAAAGUUAAUUGUGAUAAAGAUAAUAUUUUAUCUCCUCACUUUUUCUAUCAUGUUCUUUCUUCAAGUUUUAUUAUUAAUGUAAGGGUUAGGCAAAUUAUUUUAAAAGGAUUGUUUAAUAAAUGCCAAGAUAGUA